UCUCCUGGGAACGGGGUGGGUAAUGGCCGGGAAGGCUCCCGCCCCCCUCGCAGGGGGGGUCGGGAAGGCUUUUGCGGAAGGGGAUGGGGUCGCGUCCUAUCGGCUUGUUGGCGGGGCGACGGCCCACCAAGGCUUCGACGGGUAGCCGGCCUGAGAGGGCGACCGGCCACAUUGGGACUGAGAUACGGCCCAGACUCCUACGGGAGGCAGCAGUGGGGAAUAUUGCACAAUGGGGGGAACCCUGAUGCAGCGACGCCGCGUGCGGGAUGGAGGCCUUCGGGUCGUGAACCGCUUUUGAUUGGGAGCAAGCGUGAGUGAGUGUACCUUUCGAAUAAGCACCGGCUAACUACGUGCCAGCAGCCGCGGUAAUACGUAGGGUGCAAGCGUUGUCCGGAAUCAUUGGGCGUAAAGGGCUCGUAGGCGGUUCGUCGCGUCCGGUGUGAAAGCCCAUCGCUUAACGGUGGGUCUGCGCCGGGUACGGGCGGGCUUGAGUGCGGCAGGGGAGGCUGGAAUUCCCGGUGUAACGGUGGAAUGUGUAGAUAUCGGGAAGAACACC
rnacentral:rRNA from 1 species